AAGCACUUCUUGGAACCUCUGCAUCGCCUGCCCCGUGGCCUCAGGGAUUGGGUGGCAGUGCCAGAGCGAAGCCAGCUUGUCCAGAUCUGUAGCUGUUUAGAGGCCACCUAGGUGUUUCCUUUGGCAGCAAGUGACAUUC
rnacentral:snoRNA from 1 species